CAGCAGCCGCGGGAAUACGUAGGGUGCAAGCGUUAAUCGGAAUUACUGGGCGUAAAGCGUGCGCAGGCGGUUUUGUAAGUCUGUCGUGAAAUUCCCGGGCUCAACCUGGGAAUGGCGAUGGAGACUGCAAGGCUAGAAUCUGGCAGAGGGGGGUAGAAUUCCACGUGUAGCAGUGAAAUGCGUAGAUAUGCGGAGGAACACCGAUGGCGAAGGCAAUCCCCUGGACCUGUACUGACGCUCACGCACGAAAGCGUGGGGAGCAAACAGGAUUAGAGACCCGCGUAGUCCCUGUCUCUUAUCA
rnacentral:rRNA from 1 species